GACGAACGCUGGCGGCGUGCUUAACACAUGCAAGUCGAACGAAGUGGCGAACGGGUGAGUAACGCGUAAUCAACCUGCCCUUCAGAGGGGGACAACAGUUGGAAACGACUGCUAAUACCGCAUACUGAAGGAGGGGAUUGCGUCUGAUUAGCUAGUUGGGGGGGUAACGGCCCACCAAGGGGAUGAUCAGUAGCCGGGCUGGGAGGAAGAACGGCCAAAAUGGGAAUGGGACACGGGCCAGACUCCUACGGGAGGCAGCAGUGGGGAAUCUUCCGACAUGGACGAAAGUCUGACGGAGCAACGCCGCGUGAGUGAUGACGGCCUUCGGGUUGUAAAGCUCUGUUAAGCGGGACGCGGUACCGGAAUAGAAAGCCACGGCUAACUACGUGCCAGCCGCCGCGGUAAUUC
rnacentral:rRNA from 1 species